AAAAUAUAAAAAAAUAUUUUAAAUUAUUAAAAAGAUGCAUUUAAACAUCUUUUAUUUUAUUUUUAAAUUCAAAUUUUCAUUUUAGACAGUGUUUUAAAAACAAAACCGAAUCAGCCGGUUCAACCGGUUGGACCAGGAAUAGGAGAUAAAUCUGGUUUGGUCAACCUUUCAAAAUCGUUAAUGGGUCAAAAUUGGAGUAAAACAAAAAAAAAACGGAUUGAACCU
rnacentral:lncRNA from 1 species